CCUACGGGUGGCUGCAGUGGGGAAUAUUGGGCAAUGGGCGCAAGCCUGACCCAGCAACGCCGCGUGAAGGAAGAAGGCUUUCGGGUUGUAAACUUCUUUUGACAGGGAAGAGUAGAAGACGGUACCUGUCGAAUAAGCCCCGGCUAACUACGUGCCAGCAGCCGCGGUAAUACGGAGGAUGCGAGCGUUAUCCGGAUUUAUUGGGUUUAAAGGGUGCGUAGGCGGGCAUUUAAGCCGGCGGUCAAAUGUCGGGGCUCAACCCCGGCCUGCCGUCGGAACUGGGUGCCUUGAGUGGGCGAGAAGUAUGCGGAAUGCGUGGUGUAGCAGUGAAAUGCAUAGAUAUCACGCAGAACCCCGAUUGCGAAGGCAGCAUACCGGCGCCCGACUGACGCUGAGGCACGAAAGUGCGGGUAUCGAACAGGAUUAGAUACCCUUGUAGUC
rnacentral:rRNA from 1 species